rnacentral:RNase_P_RNA from 1 species
GAUGCAGGUCGUCUUAUCGCCUUAUUGAAAAACAUAAGGAGGAAAGUCCGGACAACGCAGGGCGCUGUACUUCCUAACAGGAAGGUGUAUUACCGGCGACGGUGAUGCAACAGAUAGUGCAACAGAAAAUAUACCGCCCCGGCAAACGGGUUUUGUCAGGGUAAGGGUGAAAUGGUGGGGUAAGAGCCCACCGUUCUUUCGGCGACGAAAGGAGCAAGGUAAACCUUACAGGUUGAAAGGCCAAAUAGGUUCGGUUUUGCGAAAGCAAUGAAGCGGCCCGUUUCAUCCCUUGGGAGGCCGAAUGGGUAGGUCGUUUGAGCCCUCCGGUGACGGUUGGCCCAGAUAAAUGAUAAGAAUCGUGCAAUGGCGCGAUACAGAAUCCGGCUUACAGGCCUGCAUUUUUU